AUUGAACGCUAGCGGCAGGCCUAACACAUGCAAGUCGAGCGAGCGGCGGACGGGUGAGUAAUGUAUCGGGAUCUGCCCGAUAGCGGGGGAUAACUACUGGAAACGGUGGCUAAUACCGCAUACUAUCGGAUGCGCCCAUAUGGGAUUAGCUAGUAGGUGGGGUAAAGGCUCACCUAGGCGACGAUCUCUAGCUGGUCUGAGAGGAUGACCAGCCACACUGGGACUGAGACACGGCCCAGAAUCCUACGGGAGGCAGCAGUGGGGAAUAUUGCACAAUGGGGGAAAGCCUGAUGCAGCCAUGCCGCGUGUAUGAAGAAGGCCUUAGGGUUGUAAAGUACUUUUAGCAGGGAGGCGUUAUCCGCAGAAGAAGCACCGGCUAACUCCGUGCCAGCAGCCGCGGUAAUAC
rnacentral:rRNA from 1 species